rnacentral:lncRNA from 1 species
GCAUCCCCAUGCCGAAUAUGCAUUUGGUCCCCUGAACCUGAUGUAUGUUCUUUGGCCAAAACAAAACAAACUGACUGAGCCAUCUCUACUCUGACCCUGUGAAGUCAGAGUCUGGCACCAUUCUGUAGCAUGAGCUCCUGUCUUUCUUAAGCCCAGCUGUUUCUUACACAGUGACAUCCCAGGUGCCCUGGGGUUUGGGACUCCUGGCAGGAGAGAAGAGAAUGAACCAACCCAUUCUGAGAAGUCAGGCAUUGUUAUGGCCCUGGAGAUGGGUGGUGAAGGCAAAACCAUGUGUGUGUGUGUCUAUGGAUGCCUGGAUUCCUGACCGCAGUCAGCAUUGCCCAUCAAUUCCAGGUCAAAAGAAGGAAAGGGCUGGGUCCCAUGGUCACCAAGCCCUUGCCGCUCUGCUCUUCUUGUGAAAGUGACCUUCAGAGUUUCAUCAGCUGAUAGCAGACAGCCAGAUUGCCCUCUAGUAAAGCCUAGUUUAAGAUCAGUUUCAGGAAUUUUCUGGGUGUUUUUAUCUUUGCAGUGAAGCCAUAAAAGCCCUCAUAGCAGCUGGGCAGGCUGCAAAGUUGAUGCUUCCGAGUGGCUCAUUAGAGUGUAAUGGCAUUCCUGAGAGUAGAUGUUGCUGCAAGCAGCAGGCAGGAAGCUCAUGCGGCAGCAGCCUGAUGGAUACUCCGCGUCAAGGGGGUUCUGGCGGAUGCGUGGCAGGCAGGCAGCGGCUACACUCCAUGGGCGGUGCUGGGUUGCGAAAGGGGCUGACAGUGCUGCUCUCCGGCAGAGGGGUGGGGGCAGGUGCAUGCACAUCCGGAUCAGGGAUGGUGACCGGGACAGCACAGCUGGUCCCCGCUGAGACCAAGGCAAGGGUUGGUACUGUGAGCUACUUAAAGAGGGCCAGUUUGGGAUAUCUACAUCCAGGCAAGAAGUUUCCACAUUGUCCCCAGUGUGUGACUGACCACUUUCGGGGAUGAACAGGUGUGUGUGGCACAGUCUCAGGCCCCAACUCCACCCACGAGGGCAGUGGCCACACCCACCAGAAUGGUGCCAUCCAAGGCAUCCAACAAAGGCAGCCAGAUGGGCUCAGUGGAAAUGAUGUGGCUUCAGAGUGAGUUCUUUUUGAAAACUUCUAAAUGGCAGGGUUGGCGCUGGGCGUCACCCCCAUUCACCCAACCCCGGUACCUUAGCUGAGCCCAGAAGAGUAUCAUUUGUCAAAUUU